UACAGAGGGUGCAAGCGUUGUUCGGAAUUAUUGGGCGUAAAGCGUAUGUAGGUGGUUCACUAAGUCUGGUGUGAAAGCCCGGGGCUCAACCCCGGAAGUGCACUGGAUACUGGUGAGCUAGAGGACGGGAGAGGAUGGUGGAAUUCCUGGUGUAGGGGUGAAAUCCGUAGAUAUCAGGAGGAAUACCGGUGGCGAAGGCGGCCAUCUGGCCCGUUUCUGACACUCAGAUACGAAAGCGUGGGGAGCAAACAGG
rnacentral:rRNA from 1 species